ACUAUUUUGGCAGAUUAGUGCAAUAAAUUUAGAAUUUAUAUAUAUAAUUUAAAAAUUAUAAAUAGUA
rnacentral:tRNA from 1 species